rnacentral:rRNA from 1 species
GUCCUUUUGAGUUUAAUUUAAGGUCUGGCCUGCCCACUGGAAUUUUUUUGAAGGGCCGCAGUAAUUUGACUGUGCAAAGGUAGCAUAAUCAUUAGUUUUUUAAUUGAAAGCUUGUAUGAAGGGUUGGACGAGGUAAAUUCUGUCUCUAUUUAAUUUUAUAUAGAAUUUAAUUUUUAAGUUAAAAAGCUUAAAUUUUUUUAAAAGACGAGAAGACCCUAUAGAUCUUUAUAUUAAAAGUAUUAAUUUUAAUUAAGAAUAUUUAAUUUUUUAGUAUUUAUAAUAUUUUAUUGGGGUAAUAAAAAGAUUAAAAUAAUUCUUUUUUUAUUUUAACAUUUAUUUAUGAUUAUAUGAUCCAAUUUUAUUGAUUAAAAGAUUAAGUUACCUUAGGGAUAACAGCGUAAUUUUUUUAGAGAGUUCAUAUCGAUAAAAAAGUUUG